rnacentral:lncRNA from 1 species
ACCUCAAAUCACUCUUUGGCAACAAGGUAUGUUAAGGAAAUCACCAAGUCCCAGAGUGUAGACGAGCCCGAUCCCUUCGCAGCAGGUAAUCAACAGCCAGGCUGGAGAAAGCGUGUUUUCUUGAAGGAACCAAACCGAGAGAAUGUGAGGGCGGAGAGGGUCACCUCAAAGGACAGAGCUGAAGUCGCAGCUGCCAACAGAAUUAGAAAAGUUCUAAAGCUGGGGAUUAAUGGUUUCUUUUUUAGCGCGACAGAAAUUAUUUUCAGAAGUUUAUUUUCAUACCAGCCACGUUUCCAUUUUAUGGGCUUGACCUUUAGCAGAAUAUCCCACAGGCAACGCGGGAGACAGUGGUGCUCAUGCUGUGAGUAUGAAAAGCUUCUCAGUGGAUCGAUUGGGGCAGGGCAACUCCAGGCACACGGGGAGAUGACUCCCAACGACCAGUGUGGAAAGUCUGGAUGCAGCCUCUCUUUCAAAGGCCAGUGAUUUGCACUGUUAGGAUUUUAGUAAGUGGGUCCAAGUGAGUGAGAGCUGAUUAUGUGCACAUGUCAUCUUACUGUAUACUGUUUAGCUGUACUACUUAUAAUGUCAAUAUUUUACCUUUCCCCCCCAAUCUACCCCCCCAAGGUCUUUUAUUAGUCCUAUGCUCUGAAUCUUGGAAGGGAACCCCAGGAAUAAUCAGUUUGUAAAACAAAUUUGAAAAAAACGAUCAUGACACAAGCAUCAGUAUUAAGAAUUGGAGAGAAAAAAAGGACUGUGGAGAAAUGUCCUGCUUGUACUGAGCAAAAACAUAAAACUGUUAUUCAUGGAAAGAAGGACAGACCCAUAAGAAACUAAUAUCCGGUCUGGGAUAUUUGCUUUUUCCUUUCCAAUAAAAGCGAUGAUUUUUUUUGGGGGGGGGUUAAU